rnacentral:rRNA from 1 species
ACCGACACAGGUAGUCAAGAUGAGAAUUCUAAGGUGAGCGAGCGAACUCUCGUUAAGGAACUCGGCAAAAUGACCCCGUAACUUCGGGAGAAGGGGUGCUCUUUAGGGUUAACGCCCAGAAGAGCCGCAGUGAAUAGGCCCAAGCGACUGUUUAUCAAAAACACAGGUCUCUGCUAAACCGUAAGGUGAUGUAUAGGGGCUGACGCCUGCCCGGUGCUGGAAGGUUAAGAGGAGUGGUUAGCUUCUGCGAAGCUACGAAUCGAAGCCCCAGUAAACGGCGGCCGUAACUAUAACGGUCCUAAGGUAGCGAAAUUCCUUGUCGGGUAAGUUCCGACCCGCACGAAAGGCGUAACGAUUUGGGCACUGUCUCAACGAGAGACUCGGUGAAAUCAUAGUACCUGUGAAGAUGCAGGUUACCCGCGACAGGACGGAAAGACCCCGUGGAGCUUUACUGUAGCCUGAUAUUGAAAUUCGGCACAGCUUGUACAGGAUAGGUAGGAGCCUUUGAAACGUGAGCGCUAGCUUACGUGGAGGCGCUGGUGGGAUACUACCCUAGCUGUGUUGGCUUUCUAACCCGCACCACUUAUCGUGGUGGGAGACAGUGUCAGGCGGGCAGUUUGACUGGGGCGGUCGCCUCCUAAAAGGUAACGGAGGCGCUCAAAGGUUCCCUCAGAAUGGUUGGAAAUCAUUCAUAGAGUGUAAAGGCAUAAGGGAGCUUGACUGCGAGACCUACAAGUCGAGCAGGGUCGAAAGACGGACUUAGUGAUCCGGUGGUUCCGCAUGGAAGGGCCAUCGCUCAACGGAUAAAAGCUACCCCGGGGAUAACAGGCUUAUCUCCCCCAAGAGUUCACAUCGACGGGGAGGUUUGGCACCUCGAUGUCGGCUCAUCGCAUCCUGGGGCUGUAGUCGGUCCCAAGGGUUGGGCUGUUCGCCCAUUAAAGCGGUACGCGAGCUGGGUUCAGAACGUCGUGAGACAGUUCGGUCCCUAUCCGUCGUGGGCGUAGGAAAUUUGAGAGGAGCUGUCCUUAGUACGAGAGGACCGGGAUGGACAUACCUCUGGUGUACCAGUUGUCGUGCCAACGGCAUAGCUGGGUAGCUAUGUGUGGACGGGAUAAGUGCUGAAAGCAUCUAAGCAUGAAGCCCCCCUCAAGAUGAGAUUUCCCAACUUCGGUUAUAAGAUCCC